rnacentral:lncRNA from 1 species
UGUGUCCUGCUGGCACCUGAGUACUUCAGGUGUCGUGGUUUAACCCGGCCGGCAGCUAAACACCACGCAGCCGUUUGCUCACCCUCCCCCCUCCCUUUCUGGGACGGGGGAGAGAAAUGGAAAGUGAAGCCUGCUGGAAGGAUUAUCCUGUUGCAUUGUAAACAACCACUAAACCUUCUAAAGAGAUUUCUCAUCUGCACUGUUUUGCUGAAAAGUCUUGCACAAGACAUGCAAGUUCAUGCCUUCCUUGCAUACCUGCCUAAGUUACUGAAUAUUAGAUGUCUUCCAUGUUCAAGGCCACACUGAGAGAAGAUGCACAGAGGAAAAUAAAGUAGUGAUGAAAUGGAUAUCUGUGGAAAUAUUCCCUUUUUGGAAUAUUGGAUGAUGAGACUGAAGGAUGACUAAUAAUACCUGCACUUAAAUGAUCCCAUUACCGUAUCCUGAAUCCUAAAUUAGAUCUUCCCUACUACCUCCUCUCUAGGUCAGUAUUAUUCCUGUGAUAUUCAUGUAGAAAGUUUGUUGUUGUUUUUUAUUUAAUGUAAAAAAUAAUCUAACAAGUUGGUUCA